ensembl:miRNA
AGAAGGAGGGCUGUUUCUGUCUUUGGUUAUCUAGCUGUAUGAGUGUUAUUAAGCCAUCAUAAAGCUAGAUAACCGAAAGUAGAAAUGACUUCCAACCCU